CAUUUCAGUUGCAUUUCCAAAUGUUGCAUUCAGAAGGCCCCCAACUGUUGGCCCGGUAUAGAAUGCGAGCUGCUCGGUUGCAUAGCCCAAGCGCUCAGCUAAAGGUGUAAUGCCCAGUAAACUGAAGAAAAAGACCCAAGUAUGUUUUCCUGUAAGAUAGUGAAGCAAUAUGGCGAGGGGGCCAAAAGGAAGUAACAAAUUGAUCUUUGCUUUGAUAAUAACAAUGUAUAUACUCCUUAGAAGGCUGAUCUGAUACAUCUUUGUUAAGACCCUAGUAGAGCGACAACUUGCAAUAUGAGGUGCCUCAUAAUACAGACUGUCUAUUUUGAUAGUUCCCUGGGAUGAGCUAAAUGGAAUCUCCUCGUCAAGUUGAAGGUCUAACUUAUCCCCAGCAGAUCCCAUCUCCUGAAACAUGAAAUGGACCAAACAAAAACUUACGUUGUAAUCAUUCCAAACUAAUCAGAAAAGUAUGCAAUAAGCAAAAACAAAAAUUGAAGUUGAUUCAGAGAGACAGAGCAGAUCAAGAUUCGCCAUAAAAGAUAGUAAAAG
rnacentral:misc_RNA from 1 species